rnacentral:rRNA from 1 species
UACGUAGGGUGCGAGCGUUAAUCGGAAUUACUGGGCGUAAAGCGUGCGCAGGCGGUUUCGUAAGACAGAGGGGAAAUCCCCGGGCUCAACCUGGGAACUGCCUUUGUGACUGCAAAGCUGGAGUGCGGCAGAGGGGGAUGGAAUUCCGCGUGUAGCAGUGAAAUGCGUAGAUAUGCGGAGGAACACCGAUGGCGAAGGCAAUCCCCUGGGCCUGCACUGACGCUCAUGCACGAAAGCGUGGGGAGCAAACAGG